rnacentral:lncRNA from 1 species
GUCCUUGGCACCUGUUUUGUUUAAAACUGCGUAGUGAUGCUUAGCCCUGCUUAUUAGAUAGGUUUUCAACUAAGAAAGUUUGAAGGGUUGUUGUGGGAUACACUUAUGGUUAAUGAUGUUUCAACUUGAGACCGGUCAGUGGACUUGCUUUAAGAAUGGAGUCUUAAAGUAGUGUCUCCAACUGUGUCGGUUAAGACCGGUCCGUUGAUGGCCUGCUGGGUUGAGAAUUUAUAGUACUAGCCACU